rnacentral:rRNA from 1 species
AGUGAACGCUGGCGGUAGGCCUAACACAUGCCAGUCGAACGGCAGCACAGUAAGAUCUUGCUCUUACGGGUGGCGAGUGGCGGACGGGUGAGGAAUACAUCGGAAUCUACUUUUUCGUGGGGGAUAACGUAGGGAAACUUACGCUAAUACCGCAUACGACCUACGGGUGAAAGCAGGGGAUCUUCGGACCUUGCGCGAUUGAAUGAGCCGAUGUCGGAUUAGCUAGUUGGCGGGGUAAAGGCCCACCAAGGCGACGAUCCGUAGCUGGUCUGAGAGGAUGAUCAGCCACACUGGAACUGAGACACGGUCCAGACUCCUACGGGAGGCAGCAGUGGGGAAUAUUGGACAAUGGGCGCAAGCCUGAUCCAGCCAUACCGCGUGGGUGAAGAAGGCCUUCGGGUUGUAAAGCCCUUUUGUUGGGAAAGAAAAGCAGCAGGUUAAUACCCCGCUGUUCUGACGGUACCCAAAGAAUAAGCACCGGCUAACUUCGUG